AUGCAGCGACGCAGCGUGCGGGAUGACGGCCUUCGGGUUGUAAACCGCUUUCAGCAGGGAAGAAGCGCAAGUGACGGUACCUGCAGAAGAAGUACCGGCUAACUACGUGCCAGCAGCCGCGGUAAUACGUAGGGUACGAGCGUUGUCCGGAAUUAUUGGGCGUAAAGAGCUCGUAGGUGGUUGGUCACGUCUGCUGUGGAAACGCAACGCUUAACGUUGCGCGUGCAGUGGGUACGGGCUGACUAGAGUGCAGUAGGGGAGUCUGGAAUUCCUGGUGUAGCGGUGAAAUGCGCAGAUAUCAGGAGGAACACCGGUGGCGAAGGCGGGACUCUGGGCUGUAACUGACACUGAGGAGCGAAAGCAUGGGGAGCGAACAGGAUUAGAUACCCUGGUAGUCCAUGCCGUAAACGUUGGGCACUAGGUGUGGGGGGCAUUCCACGUUCUCCGCGCCGUAGCUAACGCAUUAAGUGCCCCGCCUGGGGAGUACGGUCGCAAGGCUAAAACUCAAAGGAAUUGACGGGGGCCCGCACAAGCGGCGGAGCAUGCGGAUUAAUUCGAUGCAACGCGAAGAACCUUACCAAGGCUUGACAUACACCGGACCGUCCUGGAAACAGGUCCUCUUCUUUGAAGCUGGUGUACAGGUG
rnacentral:rRNA from 1 species